GCUAAGACUGGAUAGGAAAUAAAAAGGCAUCUUUUUAUUUUUAAAAGACCUUUUUCGGAAGGUAUGCUUAAAGAUGAGCUUGCGCCACAUUAGUUUGUUGGUGGGGUAAUGGCCUACCAAGACGAUGAUGUGUAGCUGGACUGAGAGGUCGAACAGCCACAUUGGGACUGAGACACGGCCCAAACUCCUACGGGAGGCAGCAGUAGGGAAUUUUCGGCAAUGGAGGAAACUCUGACCGAGCAACGCCGCGUGAACGAUGAAGUAUUUCGGUAUGUAAAGUUCUUUUAUUGAAGAAGAAAAAAUAGUGGAAAAACUAUCUUGACGUUAUUCAAUGAAUAAGCCCCGGCUAACUAUGUGCCAGCAGCCGCGGUAAGACAUAGGGGGCGAGCGUUAUCCGGAAUUAUUGGGCGUAAAGGGUGCGUAGGCGGUUAGGAAAGUCUAUAAUUUAAUUUCAGUGCUUAACGCUGUCUUGUUAUAGAAACUACCUUGACUAGAGUUAGAUAGAGGCAAGCGGAAUUCCAUGUGUAGCGGUAAAAUGUGUAAAUAUAUGGAGGAACACCAGAAGCGUAGGCGGCUUGCUGGGUCUUGACUGACGCUGAGGCACGAAAGCGUGGGUAGCAAACAGGAUUAGAUACCCUGGUAGUCCACGCCGUAAACGAUGAGUACUAAGUGUCGGGAUAAAACUCGGUACUGAAGUUAACACAUUAAGUACUCCGCCUGAGUAGUACGUACGCAAGUAUGAAACUUAAAGGAAUUGACGGGACUCCGCACAAGCGGUGGAUCAUGUUGUUUAAUUCGAAGAUACACGAAAAAUCUUACCAGGUCUUGACAUGCUCUGCAAAGCUAUAGAAAUAUAGUGGAGGUUAUCAGGGACACAGGUGGUGCAUGGUUGUCGUCAGUUCGUGUCGUGAGAUGUUAGGUUAAGUCCUAAAACGAGCGCAACCCUUGUCGUUAGUUACCAGCACGUAAUGGUGGGCACUUUAACGAGACUGCCAAUUAAACAUUGGAGGAAGGUGAGGAUUACGUCAAAUCAUCAUGCCCCUUAUGAUCUGGGCUACAAACGUGAUACAAUGGCUGUUACAAAGAGUAGCUGAAGCGCGAGUUUUUAGCCAAUCUCAAAAAAGCAGUCUCAGUUCGGAUUGAAGUCUGUAACUCGACUUCAUGAAGUUGGAAUCGCUAGUAAUCGCGAAUCAGCAUGUCGCGGUGAAUACGUUCUCGGGGUUUGUACACACCGCCCGUCAA
rnacentral:rRNA from 1 species